rnacentral:rRNA from 1 species
UACGUAGGAGGCAAGCGUUGUCCGGAAUUACUGGGCGUAAAGCGCGUGUAGGUGGUGGGACAAGUCUGCUGUGAAAGCGCCUGGCUUAACCGGGCGAGGUCGGCGGAAACUGUCCGACUAGAGGACGGUAGAGGGGGUGGAAUUCCCGGUGUAGUGGUGAAAUGCGUAGAGAGUCGGGAGGAACACCUGUGGCGAAGGCAGCUCUCUGGCCUAUAACUGACGCUGAGGUGCGAAAGCGUGGGGAGCAAACGGGG